AUUGAACGCUGGCGGCAGGCCUAACACAUGCAAGUCGAGCGGAUGCAGGGAGCUUGCUCCUGGAUUCAGCGGCGGACGGGUGAGUAAUGCCUAGGAAUCUGCCUGGUAGUGGGGGAUAACGUCCGGAAACGGGCGCUAAUACCGCAUACGUCCUGAGGGAGAAAGUAGGGGAUCUUCGGACCUCACGCUAUCAGAUGAGCCUAGGUCGGAUUAGCUAGUUGGUGGGGUAACGGCCUACCAAGGCGACGAUCCGUAACUGGUCUGAGAGGAUGAUCAGCCACACUGGAACUGAGACACGGUCCAGACUCCUACGGGAGGCAGCAGUGGGGAAUAUUGGACAAUGGGCGAAAGCCUGAUCCAGCCAUGCCGCGUGUGUGAAGAAGGUCUUCGGAUUGUAAAGCACUUUAAGUUGGGAGGAAGGGCAGUAAGUUAAUACCUUGCUGUUUUGACGUUACCAACAGAAUAAGCACCGGCUAACUUCGUG
rnacentral:rRNA from 1 species